UACGUAGGGGGCGAGCGUUGUCCGGAAUUAUUGGGCGUAAAGAGCUUGUAGGCGGUUUGUCGCGUCUGCUGUGAAAAUCCGGGGCUCAACCCCGGACUUGCAGUGGGUACGGGCAGACUAGAGUGUGGUAGGGGAGACUGGAAUUCCUGGUGUAGCGGUGAAAUGCGCAGAUAUCAGGAGGAACACCGAUGGCGAAGGCAGGUCUCUGGGCCGCUACUGACGCUGAGAAGCGAAAGCAUGGGGAGCGAACAGG
rnacentral:rRNA from 1 species